UUCCGAUCUCUACCUAAGGGAAAGAAAGCAGCAGAAGGCAGCGUGGGAGACACAACCUUACUGUUCUACCAUUCAAAUCACUAGAUGGCAGCAGUGUGUGUCCAGAGGUAUAUGGAGGAGCAGAGACCAAAAACUACUGUGGGAACCAUAGAAGACAUAUAGUCGAGGAACAAGCACACCAGCAGACAAUUUGACAUUAAUAUCUCAAACCUGUUUCAAACAUCAGCCCUAUAAACAAAGACUCAGCAGUCCUGGUGAUCGAACUGGCCAAUGUUACUCAACUCAGACAGUUGCUUGUUAAAAGCUGCAGUUAUGUCUUUCACCCAGACGAGGGCAAUGAAAGCCCACACACCCGCCACAGGUAAUACCUGACACUUUCACGUCCACCCUCCGAACAGGGAAUGGUCCUUGUGGAACCAAGACACACAUGGUAGCUGCAAGAAUCCACAGCUGCCUCUUUCACAUGAAGUGAUCAGAUUUCAAUAAGACAAGUAGUAACCAGGAAUAUGAAAUGUAUUUUAUGACACUGAAUGCAGCGUAGAGGAGAUACCCAGCAUUGAAUGGCACAUUUUUAGAGCUUGGCUGAGACACAGGUUGGGAUACAACAAGGUAGACCUUUGAAAGGGUUUGAAAAAGUUAGCUCACUGCAGCUCUCCCCUUCGUUUCCCCCUUUCCCCAAAGCAAACACACACCCAGGGGAAAAGAAGAGGUGAAAGGCUGGCAACCAAAAAUACUGAAAAACAACAAGCUUGCAGAGGCAGGGACACAGAAUAAAGACAAGCCCCGAGGACAGCGACGAGAAAUGCCAACAAAGAGCUGGAUGUGGAAAGUAAAGACUCAGCAUUCCAGAGGCAGGGAGCUCAUCAUGGCUUUAGCUCUUCCCUCAAAUCUGAUGUGCAUGUGUGUGUGUGUGUGUGUGUGUGUG